GGGGAGGCUGGGGCGGGGUGGGAUGCGUGGCAGGAAGGAGCAGGGCGGUUUGCGGAGAUGGCGUCAGUGAUGCUGGCUUUGUGGGGAAGCCUUGCUCUGGGUCCCGCUUCGUGCCUGGCUGGCUCCGGCUCCCCUCUCCCUGGCCGUGGACUACGGCCGUGCCAGUCUCCUGCCAUCAUCUCAGAGCUGGAGAGGACUGAGGGACCCCGAGCGUCAUGUUAAGGUGAAGCAGAGAGGCUCAGUACUGAACAUGCUAAGGAAGCUGGACAAAAUCAGGUUCAGAGGUCACAAGAGAGAUGACUUCCUCGAUCUAGCUGAGUCUCCGAAUGCUUCGGACACCGAAUGCGGAGACGAGAUUCCCCUGAAGAUCCCUCGGACCUCGCCCCGGGACAGCGAGGAGCUCAGGGACCCUGCUGGUCCAGGGACCCUCAUCAUGGCUGCAGGAGUCCAGGACUUCAACCGGACAGAGAUCGAUCGCUUGAAUGAGAUCAAAGGUCACCUGGAAAUCGCCUUAUUGGAAAAGCACUUCUUACGUGAGUGCCUGUUGCGGGGGUGGGGGUGGGGCAGCAGGCAGAGGGGACAGUCUUGCAGGAGUACAGCCGGGUCACACAGGGGUCACAGUCGGGCCGGGUUGCCGGCCCGGGUCGUUGGCCUCCACCAGCAGCUGGUAGCUGGCCUCUUCCUCCCGGUCCACCACCGCCCGGGUGCGCACCACGCCCGAGCGCUCGUCGAUCUCAAAGACGCCGCGCGCGCCCUCCAGCAAGCGGUAGCGCAUGUUGGCGUUGGAAGGCGCGUCGCCGUCGGUGGCGCGGAUGGUCAGCACUUCGUAGCCCACCUCGAGGUUCUCGCGCACGCGCUCGCGGUACUCCGACUGCUCGAAGACGGGGCUGUGGUCGUUGGUGUCGCUGACCGUGACGGUGAGGUAGGUGGCGGCGGAGCGCCGCGGCGAGCCGUGGUCCACCGCACUCACCUUGAGUACGUGCGUGUCCUUGGUCUCGCGGUCCAGCGGGCGGGCGGUGCUCACCAAGCCCGUGUCCGAGUCGAUGAGGAAGUAGCCAUUGGAGCGCUCAUCAAACAGCGCCUCCAUCUGGUAGCCGAGGCGCCCCGCCUCGCCCUCGUCGGGAUCGUGCGCUCGCAGCUCGAUGACCGCGGUGCCGGCGGGCUCAUUCUCGGGCACCGACACCUGGUAGCUGGGCAGCUGGAACUGCGGGGUAGUGCUGCCGCCAGCGCCCCGCCGGGCCCGCCGCGCCGCCCCCGCCCCGGCCUGAGGCAGGCCUGGCGGCGGCGGCGACUGCGACGGCAAUGGGGAAGGCGUCCCCGAGGCCGCCUCCAGCGCCAGCUCCACCCGGACGGUGCCUGCUGCGCGCCGCAGGGCACAGAGCAGGAGCAGGCGGGCCGAGCCCCCGGGCGGCAGGCAGACAGGGCGGCGUGGGCAGCGGGAACCGGGGCGCGGCGGGCAGCUGCAGGCGGGGAACGUGGUCAACGCGGCCAGCGCCGAGUGCAGCGUGGCCCCGCCGCCGCCAGGGGCCGGGAAGCACAGCAUCGCGCCGGGGCCAGGCACCGCUAGCACAGCCCGCGCGCGCAGCUCGGCGCCGAGAGCCCGUCGGCCCCGGG
ensembl:lincRNA